CGCACCCACCAAGGACAAGGAAAGUCUAAGCACUAAGGACAUAGUACCGACAAAACAGUUCCAGCAUGUGUCCUGGCAAAACCUGUCCUGUGAUGAGGGGCAAGUGCCAGUGCCCCUCUGGAAGAGACGGGAGGCACAGGGUGGACGGACACCCAGGCCCCCCCACCCACUGAUCCUCCUGCCUUUCGGCAUCACCACAGCACAGAGGCCGGUGCCACUGCUCUCAGCGGCCAGCACCGGUCGUGAUAAGCCUCCUGAGGAAUAUCUCAAGGUGAAUUUCAAGUGCAGUGACACAGAGUCAUCUUCUUCUUCAAUAUUUUUGUCCACAUGCCUGGCUCCUUCCACCCAGGUGAACAGGGCUGAACAUUGUAGAAGCAAAGUUUGUUUCCUUUACCUCACAUUCUUGAGCCUCGAGGGUUACUUUCUCCCCAGGUCCCAUCCUAUCCCUUCAGUCUUCUUGAAUCAAAAGCACUGUCCCCUACAUAAAAAUGAUCCCUUAUUGGUUACAUCAAAACAAUAAAGUCCUCAAAAGCACAGGGUCAAAAGUCUCUCCCUUCCUCCAGCACUGCACCCCAGCCUCCAAACCUGAUAAAAAGUUAGAAUUUUUUUACUCUUAUUUUCCACUUGAAAUCUGUACUGGGGCGAAACCUGUUCUCCUCUGUACGACCUUAGGCUUACUUUCUCCUAGCCACAUUUUCCUAGAAACAUAUUGGGUUAAGAUAAAUGUGGAAUGUCAACUGUGAUAUCACAUAAUAUUAUUUAUUGUAAAAAUGGUCCUUGACUGGUGAACUACGUCUGACUAGAAAGCUGGUGGUAGAAUAUAAAUACUUGUUAGGAAACAGGGGAUUUGGCCUCCCUGUGUGCAGUGUAAGUCUUGCGACUGAGUAUACCCCUUGGAGGAACCUAGAAAAUAAAUUCAUGGGUUAUUGUGUGCUACUGGUAUCUAAGUUAGAGUGUUUUUGCACUUACCUCUACAGUCAUGUUCCCUGACAACUAAGCUGUUAUGGUUGGAAGGCAAAAAAUGGCUCCUGGACUGGUAUGAGGGCUCCUACUGACACUAUCCACUAGAAUGCUAUUUUCUGCAAAGCCAAGUACAGCUGAUGCCAGAGUAUGGACUAGUGGGUCCUGUGUGCAAGACUGUCAAUCUGAACUCAAGGACACUGCUAGUAAUGUUGAGUGAGCACUGCAACAGAGACGAAAGGAGUCUGCCACCUAUUCAGACCAAUCUCCUACUAUAGUUUCUGGCUAACUAUAUCAACAAACUUACUUGGCAUCCUCCAAUUCAAUGUUUCCAUCUCCGACUCCACCAUAUACCCUCAUUCCCACCAAAGCCUCUUUGAAGAGUUGGGGAAUAACAUGGAAUCCUACCUCUGAAAUUGGUGUAGUUGCCUGGGCUUAACUUUUUUACUAAGGAGAACCUGGCAGUGUUUCAAGACCUUUGUAAGAACAGGACAGACAGAGGGGUCAGUCCAUAAAAGAAAAGCGGGGGUGCCCCACCACCUUUCUCCCUUAGGUAGUGGUGCCUGUCAGAGAUUCUGCAGAAGCAAAGCUGAGAGAGGGGAAGCUGAAGUAUAUGCACUGGAAGUUCCUUGGCUUUGAGAUCUUAUCUACCCUAUGCAUGUUUCAAAAAAGGGCACCUGCUACUGACGUUCCACUUACCUGGACUGGCACAUGGUCUGGGACGGGAGGUAGUAUGAAAGAGGGGUUAGGAUCAUGGGCUUUCUGUGGAGUCAGCAAAUCUGGGGAUAAGUCCUGGUCCCAUCAUUUUGAGCUAUAUGAACUUAGAUAAGUUACUCAAUGUUUUUAAGCCUCCGUUUGCUCAUCUGUAUAAUUAGUAUUAAACUGAAGUGGUAAUACUGAUAAA